rnacentral:rRNA from 1 species
UGGAGAGUUUGAUCCUGGCUCAGGACGAACGCUGGCGGCGUGCCUAACACAUGCAAGUCGAACGGAGAUUUCAGCAAUGGAAUCUUAGUGGCGAACGGGUGAGUAACGCGUAGACAACCUACCUUCUAGAUGGGGACAACACUGCGAAAGUGGUGCUAAUACCGAAUGUUGUAUUUUAGAUGCAUAUUUAAGAUACUAAAGGUGGCCUCUAUUUAUAAGCUACCACUAGAAGAUGGGUCUGCGUCUGAUUAGCUAGUUGGUGAGGUAACGGCUCACCAAGGCGACGAUCAGUAGCCGGYCUGAGAGGAUGAACGGCCACACUGGGACUGAGACACGGCCCAGACUCCUACGGGAGGCAGCAGUGGGGAAUCUUCCGCAAUGGACGAAAGUCUGACGGAGCAACGCCGCGUGAGUGAAGAAGGUUUUCGGAUCGUAAAACUCUGUUUUCAGGGACGAAUGUGCGAUAUGUGAAUAAUGUGUUGUAAUGACGGUACCUGACAAGAAAGCCACGGCUAACUACGUGCCAGCAGCCGCGGUA